GUAUAUAUAGUUUAAUUAAAACAUUAGAUUGUGGUUCUAAAGAUAAAAGUUAAAAUCUUUUUAUUUACC
rnacentral:tRNA from 1 species